UUCAUCAGUUCAACAUCUGCUGGAGAGACUCACCACAACACGCGAUGUCACUGAUGAUGGCUCCUCCUCUUCCUCUGGUGUUUCUGCUCAUGAUUCACGCUCUUGAGGAAUGCUGCACUGUGAAUGAUAUCAUGUACCGCGUGGGUGACGAGUGGGACAAGCGCCACACUCAGCUCAAAGACCACUGCGUUGUGAAUGGACAGACAUAUAAAGUGAACGAGACCUUCGAUAAGCGUCAUGACCAGGGCUACAUGAUGAACUGCACAUGCUUUGGCCAAGGCCGUGGUCGCUGGAAAUGUGAUGCCAUCGACCAGUGCCAGGAACCCAAGACCAAGCUGUUCUACCAGAUUGGCCAGACAUGGAACAUGGUCACCCAAGGUGUCCCGUACAGAUGUUCCUGCUAUGGGAACGGCAUUGGAGAACUGGCCUGUGAGCCUCUGCAGUCUACCGAUCCUCUAGUGAAUCCAGUGAUCUCCAUCAGUCCAUCUGGUGAAAUAGUGUCAGGAGAUUCAGUGACUCUGAUCUGCAGCAGUGAUUCAAACCCUCCUGCAGAAAUCAGCUGGUUUAAAGGAGGAAAGGUGUAGGAUUGUAGGAUCUGAAAGAAUCUUCAACAUCUCAAAGAUCAGCUCUGAUGACAGUGGAGAAUACAAGUGCAGAUCCAGAAAUAAACAUGGAGUGAAAUACUCUGAUGCUGUGACUUUCAACAUCAUGUUUCAUCGUGGUGCUGGUUGGCUUGACUGGUUGGGGAUCACAGUGGCAUGUGUAGCAUUAUUCGUCCUCAUCAUCCUCAUCAUCCUCAUCAUCAUAUUGUAUACAAUUCUGAAGAAAAGGAUAAACGGAAGAUCUGCAAUACAUGAGAACGAAGAUCCCAGUGCACGUACAUAUACAUCUCUUGACCUCAGGUCCAGAUCAUCCGACUUGUACAAUACACUCACAACUGUCAAUCCCAGACCUGCCAUUCACCAGUCAAGUUCUUCUGAAUAUGAGAAUCAGUCACCACAGCAAGAUGCCACGGUAAGAUGAGGCACAAGCUAAACUUUACCUAACUUUUUUGGAGUCGCUGGACACGCCCACAUCACAACUACCAAAGGAAAUGAAAUGCCUCUUCAGAGUUUCCAUUCAGCAGCGAAGCAGGGCCGUGCACAGACAUUUUGAGGGGCAGUGACUUAGUUAGUUAGUUCACCCAAAAAUAAAAAUAAUGUCAUUUAUUACUCACCCUCAUGUAGUUCCACACCCGUAAGACCUUCUUUAAU